UAGCUUUUGAGCUGAAAAUGAUAAUGCUUGAUAAGUGACUUGUGUUUGAAUUCUAGUUACGAAAAUGAAAUAUUGAUGUGUCAUGAUUUAUUAAUAUGUGCAUGGAUAUUCGGAUUGAUAACCGGGAUAAGCUCGAAGGCAUUUGUGCAAGUUACUAUAUCCGGGCUAAGUCCCGAAGGUAUUUGUGCGAGUUACUAUAUCC
rnacentral:lncRNA from 1 species